ACAGGUGGUGCAUGGUUGUCGUCAGUUCGUGUCGUGAGAUGUUUGGUUAAGUUCAGCAACGUCUCUCAGUGCGUGUCCUUAGUUGCCAGCAUUAAGUUGGGGACUCUAAGGAGACUGCUAGUGUAAGCUAGAGGAAGGUGGGGACGACGUCAAAUCAUCAUGCCCCUUAUGACUUGGGCUACACACGUGCUACAAUGGCUGAUACAAAGAGUCGCUAAACCGCGAGGUCAAGCAAAUCUCAAAAAGUAAGUCUCAGUCCGGAUUGAAGUCUGCAACUCGACUUCAUGAAGUCGGAAUCACUAGUUAUUUCGAAUCAACAAUGUCGCGGGGAAUACGUUCUCGGGUAUUGUACACACCGC
rnacentral:rRNA from 1 species